CCUACGGGGGGCUGCAGUGGGGAAUAUUGCACAAUGGGGGAAACCCUGAUGCAGCGACGCCGCGUGAGCGAUGAAGUAUUUCGGUAUGUAAAGCUCUAUCAGCAGGGAAGAAAAUGACGGUACCUGACUAAGAAGCCCCGGCUAAAUACGUGACAGCAGCCGCGGGAAUACGUAGGGGGCAAGCGUUAUCCGGAUUUACUGGGGGUAAAGGGAGCGUAGACGGCGUUGCAAGCCAGGAGGGAAAGCCCGGGGCCCAACCCCGGGACUGCUCUUGGAACUGGGUGGCUGGAGUGCAGGAGGGGCAGGCGGAAUUCCUGGUGUAGCGGUGAAAUGCGUAGAUAUCAGGAGGAACACCGGUGGCGAAGGCGGCCUGCUGGACUGCAACUGACGUUGAGGCCCGAAAGCGUGGGGAGCAAACAGGAUUAGAUACCCGUGUAGUC
rnacentral:rRNA from 1 species